AUUGAACGCUGGCGGCAGGCUUAACACAUGCAAGUCGAGCGGAGAUGAGGUGCUUGCACCUUAUCUUAGCGGCGGACGGGUGAGUAGUGCUUAGGAAUCUGCCUAUUAGUGGGGGACAACAUUCCGAAAGGAAUGCUAAUACCGCAUACGUCCUACGGGAGAAAGCAGGGGAUCUUCGGACCUUGUGCUAAUAGAUGAGCCUAAGUCGGAUUAGCUAGUUGGUGGGGUAAAGGCCUACCAAGGCGACGAUCUGUAGCGGGUCUGAGAGGAUGAUCCGCCACACUGGGACUGAGACACGGCCCAGACUCCUACGGGAGGCAGCAGCGGGGAAUAUUGGACAAUGGGGGGAACCCUGAUCCAGCCAUGCCGCGUGUGUGAAGAAGGCCUUAUGGUCGUAAAGCACUUUAAGCGAGGAGGAGGCUACUGAGACUAAUACUCUUGGAUAGUGGACGUUACUCGCAGAAUAAGCACCGGCUAACUCUGUGCCAGCAGCCGCAGUAA
rnacentral:rRNA from 1 species